UGCGUAGGUGGUUUCUUAAGUCAGAGGUGAAAGGCUACGGCUCAACCGUAGUAAGCCUUUGAAACUGGGAAACUUGAGUGCAGGAGAGGAGAGUGGAAUUCCUAGUGUAGCGGUGAAAUGCGUAGAUAUUAGGAGGAACACCAGUGGCGAAGGCGGCUUUCUGGACCGUAACUGACACUGAGGUACGAAAGCGUGGGGAGCAAACA
rnacentral:rRNA from 1 species